rnacentral:tRNA from 1 species
CGGGCUGUGGCGCAGUUUGGUAGCGCACCUGUUUUGGGAACAGGGGGUCCUGAGUUCAAAUCUCAGCAGCCCGACCA